UCUUCCUUGCUGUGUGGACUUCAGUUGCAGAGAUGGGGGUGGGGUGGGGUGGGGGCUAGUCUUCCUUGCAAUUCGUGGGCUUCUUAUUGCCACGCCUUCUCUUGUGCAGAGCACCCGGGCUCUAAGACACAAGUUCAUUAGUUGUGACACAUGGGCUUAAUUGCUCCACACCAUGUGCGAUUUUCCCGGACCAGGGAUCAGAGCCCUGUUUCCUGCAUUGGCAGGUGGAUUCUUUACCACUGAGCCAUCAGGGAAAUUCUAUCAUGGAGCUUUACAAACAUCUUAAAUCAGGGACAAUCAGUUACUGUUUUACAAAUGAGGAAACAGUGGCCCUUUGAGUUUAGACAGUUUUUAAAUCACAUUUGAUUGGAAUUUCAAGAUUCAAUCCAAAUUCUUUGCCUAUGCUAUACUAUACUCUUGAGAAUCUAAAUGUAAUAAGUAGGCCUUGACAUAUGUUAAAUAUAUUUCUAAAUUUGAGGUUCACUAGAUACAUGUGAAAGUCUUUCUUAAUUUGUUUUCUUCAAAACUUUCUACCUCUAACCACCUACCCGCGCUGUCCAUGAGUACUGUUGGUUCUUCUGCCACCAAAAGGUAUCCUAUAUUUUAAAAAAAUUCUGUGUUUUUUUAUUUGACUGUACCAGGUCUUAGGUGCAGUAUGGGGGAUCUUUAGUUGUGGCCUGAAGGAGCUUUAGUUGAGGCAUUCGAGUUCUUAACUGUGGCAUGUGGGAUCUAGUUCCCUAACCAGGGAUCAAACCUGGGCCCCCUGCAUUGAGAUUGUGGAGUCUUAGCCACAGACAACCAGGGAAGUUCCCAGACACAGAAUUUAGAGGAGGUGGUAAAGGGCUCCAGUUGGCAGAAAAAUGUAACCAGAAACCUUUAAAGAUUUUUAAGGCAAUGAGUAGAUUGUUUAAUUUUUUUUUUAAGAGCUCAUUCUCUGGAUGCUGCAUGGAGAGUGUGUUGGAGGUAGAUCGAGAGCAGCAGGGGGACCAGUUAGAAGGCUCCUGUACUAAUCCAGGGGAGGGAUGGUGGUGACUUGGACCAGGCAGAUUUAGAGGGUGUGCAGAAAAGUAGAAGAAUUUGAGAAGUAUGUUGGAGGCAGUAACUAACUAUAUGGAGUAGGUUUGGAAGAGGGAGGAAUCCAAUGACUUUGGGUAAAUGUGUCAAAUGGGUUGACCAUGUUCUGUAGUGGGUAAAACUGUACAAGGAAUAAGUGAGUUUGGGUGGUUGAAUAGAAGGAAUUAGAAAUUCUGCUUAGCCUGAUAUGCCUCCAAGAGGGCAAGAAGGUAGUGGUGUUCACCAGAGAGUCCUGAGUUAGAAAUAUAACCCUGCAAUUAAAAAAAAAAAAUUUGGCUGCAUUGGGUUUUAGUUGCAGCAUGUGGGAUCUUUCGUUGUGGCAUAUGGACUAAUUGUGGUACAUGGGCUCUAGAGUGCACAGGUUUGGUAGUUGGGGCAUGCUGGCUUAAUUGCUCUGUGGCAUGUGGGAUCUUAGUUCCCCAGCCAGGGAUUGAACCUGCAUCCCUCACGUUGGAAGGAGGAUUCUUAAUCACUGAGCCAACAGGGAAGUUCCUCAACACUGCAGUUUUCAACAACUUCCCUUUAAGAUGGCUAAAUCCAUCUUCUCUGUGAUGUAUUAUUUUUUCACAUCUCAAUGGAUAUAUCAUCAACAGUAGAAGAAAGCAGAAACCCGAGCUUUCCAGUUUCAUGGCAUUUCCACAAAAGUACCCGGCUUUGGGGGAGGGAAGGAAGCUGAAGCAGGUCCCAGUGAUGUGAACUGUUAGCCUAAGUUGAAAUGGCAGUUAAUGAGGAAUUCAGUUGAAACAUCUUAUUAAACACAGGUUGCUAAGCAACAGUGGCUACCCUGAAAUAGUGUGGCUGUUUCUUCUGCAGUGGAGCUCCUGGGUCUUUGGUCUGAGCUGUCACAAAGGUUCACCUCCUAGCAGAUUACUGGAAGGCAAAUGCAAAAUUGAAAAAUCGCUGCUGAUGUCUCUUUAUUAGAUACCAACAGCCUCAGCUCUUUGGCCAGCGAAAGCUGCGGACCAGAAGCCACCUUAGGUGGAGCCAGGCCAUACCAAGUCUGAGGAUGGGAGAGGAGCGAGCAGCAGUUACAGACUCCACAUUCAUCGCUACGUGCCCUAAGGUAUUGCUACCCAAAGUGUGUUCAGAAGACUAUCAGCCUUGAAGGACCUGGGAACUUGUCAGUAACUCGCGCUCUUGGGCUCACUGCCAACUGCAGAACUGGAAGAGGGGUUCCUAACACACUUCAAAGUCAGAGACCUGCUGUCCUAAGCUACCUGUGGCUACACCGUCCUGGACAACAAAAUCCAAGAUCACUUAGAAGCCUGAGGACAAUCACCUGACAACAAACUGAAAAGACAGUAUAGCUACUUACGUUUGAGGUUGGGAAGGGUCAUCCCCCAAAGAAACGCUCUCCCCUUGGAUUUCAUUGAAACACUUCUCACAGAAAUGAUACCUGUCGGCAAGAAGGCCAUACUGGGGUGAACUGUUCCGUUCACACAACACAGCCCAAGCCAAGCAACGAAGCCACCAAUCACAGCAGGCCAAGGAGGGGGACGGGAGCAGAGAGCAGGUCAUCAACGGCGACAAGGACAUUCAAUGAUGCAGAUUUAUGGGCACCACAGUUUGGGUUUUGGUUUUUGCAAUCAAAGCCAAGUGCAGACAACGACAAGCAUGAGGGAGAAAAAAAAAAACACAAAACAAACGAAGAAAUGAGGGAUUGCAGGGCAACAAAAAACAUAAAAGCAAGACAAGACAACACAAAGCAGAAAGCCAAGGCAAAGCACAGAUUAGCAUUAAAUAUCUCAAUGGGAUCACAAGUAGCAAAUGAUUACAGCAAAUAAACAAGUCUCACACAGA